CGGGGUGAGUAACGCGUGGAUAACCUGCUUCACACUGGGGGAUAACAGUUAGGAAUGACUGCUAAUACCGCAUGAGCGCACAGUACCGCAUGGUACGGUGUGAAAAACUCCGGUGGUGUGAGAUGGAUCCGCGUCUGAUUAGCCAGUUGGCGGGGUAACGGCCCACCAAAGCGACGAUCAGUAGCCGACCUGAGAGGGUGACCGGCCACAUUGGGACUGAGACACGGCCCAA
rnacentral:rRNA from 1 species